CCUACGGGAGGCAGCAGUGGGGAAUAUUGCACAAUGGGGGGAACCCUGAUGCAGCGACGCCGCGUGAGUGAAGACGUAUUUCGGUAUGUAAAGCUCUAUCAGCAGGGAAGAAGAUGACGGUACCUGACUAAGAAGCCCCGGCUAACUACGUGCCAGCAGCCGCGGUAAUACGUAGGGGGCAAGCGUUAUCCGGAUUUACUGGGUGUAAAGGGAGCGUAGACGGCAGGGCAAGUCUGGAGUGAAAGCCCGGGGCCCAACCCCGGGACUGCUUUGGAAACUGGCAUGCUAGAGUGCUGGAGAGGUAAGCGGAAUGCGUGGUGUAGCGGUGAAAUGCGUAGAGAUUAGGAGGAACACCAGUGGCGAAGGCGGCUUACUGGACAGUAACUGACGUUGAGGCUCGAAAGCGUGGGGAGCAAACAGGAUGAGAUACCCCUGUAGUC
rnacentral:rRNA from 1 species